ACAAUGGAGAGUUUGAUCCUGGCUCAGGAUGAACGCUAGCUACAGGCUUAACACAUGCAAGUCGAGGGGAAACGACAUUGAAGCUUGCUUCAAUGGGCGUCGACCGGCGCACGGGUGAGUAACGCGUAUCCAACCUGCCUCUGACUAAGGGAUAACCCGGCGAAAGUCGGACUAAUACCUUAUGAGGUUUUCUGCAGACAUCUAACGAAAACGAAAGAUUUAUCGGUCAGUGAUGGGGAUGCGUCUGAUUAGCUUGUUGGCGGGGUAACGGCCCACCAAGGCGACGAUCAGUAGGGGUUCUGAGAGGAAGGUCCCCCACAUUGGAACUGAGACACGGUCCAAACUCCUACGGGAGGCAGCAGUGAGGAAUAUUGGUCAAUGGGCGAGAGCCUGAACCAGCCAAGUAGCGUGCAGGAUGACGGCCCUAUGGGUUGUAAACUGCUUUUAUGUGGGGAUAAAGUGAGCUACGUGUAGUUUAUUGCAGGUACCACAUGAAUAAGGACCGGCUAAUUCCGUGCCAGCAGCCGCGGUAAUACGGAAGGUCCAGGCGUUAUCCGGAUUUAUUGGGUUUAAAGGGAGCGUAGGCCGUGGAUUAAGCGUGUUGUGAAAUGUAGACGCUCAACGUCUGAAUUGCAGCGCGAACUGGUUCACUUGAGUAUGCACAACGUAGGCGGAAUUCGUCGUGUAGCGGUGAAAUGCUUAGAUAUGACGAAGAACUCCGAUUGCGAAGGCAGCUUACGGGAGCACAACUGACGCUGAAGCUCGAAGGUGCGGGUAUCAAACAGGAUUAGAUACCCUGGUAGUCCGCACAGUAAACGAUGGAUGCCCGUUGUUAGUUCACUUAAGAAUUAGCGACCAAGCGAAAGCAUUAAGCAUCCCACCUGGGGAGUACGCCGGCAACGGUGAAACUCAAAGGAAUUGACGGGGGCCCGCACAAGCGGAGGAACAUGUGGUUUAAUUCGAUGAUACGCGAGGAACCUUACCCGGGCUUGAAUUGCAGACGAACGAUUCAGAGA
rnacentral:rRNA from 1 species